AAGAAACCAACAGGGAUUGCCCUAGUAACGGCGAGUGAAGCGGCAACAGCUCAAAUUUGAAAUCUGGCUCUCGGGCCCGAGUUGAGGUUUGUAGAGGAUGCUUUUGAUGCGGUGCCUUCCGAGUUCCCUGGAACGGGACGCCAUAGAGGGUGAGAGCCCCGUCUGGUUGGAUGCCAAAUCUCUGUAAAGCUCCUUCGACGAGUCGAGUAGUUUGGGAAUGCUGCUCUAAAUGGGAGGUAUAUGUCUUCUAAAGCUAAAUACCGGCCAGAGACCGAUAGCGCACAAGUAGAGUGAUCGAAAGAUGAAAAGCACUUUGAAAAGAGAGUUAAAAAGUACGUGAAAUUGUUGAAAGGGAAGCGUUUAUGACCAGACUUGGGCUUGGUUAAUCAUCUGGGGUUCUCCCCAGUGCACUUUUCCAGUCCAGGCCAGCAUCAGUUUUCGCCGGGGGAUAAAGGCUUCGGGAAUGUGGCUCCCCCCGGGGAGUGUUAUAGUUCGUUGCGUAAUACCCUGGCGGGGACUGAGGUUCGCGCAUCUGCAAGGAUGCUGGCGUAAUGGUCAUCAACGACCCGUCUUGAAACACGGACC
rnacentral:rRNA from 1 species